rnacentral:ncRNA from 1 species
GGAUGCGGCGAACGGCGCCGUCUCCCGGACGAGUGAAGCGACGUACCCGGAACGACAAGACGACGCUCU